rnacentral:rRNA from 1 species
GACGUAGGAUGCAAGCGUUGUCCGGAUUUAUUGGGCGUAAAGAGUUCGUAGGCUGUUUGUUAAGUCUGGUGUUAAAGACUGAGGCCCAACCUCGGAAAUGCAUCGGAUACUGGCAGACUUGAGUACGGUAGAGGCGAGUGGAAUUCCCAGUGUAGCGGUGAAAUGCGUAGAUAUUGGGAAGAACACCGGUGGCGUAGGCGACUCGCUGGGCCGCAACUGACGCUGAGGAACGAAAGCCAGGGGAGCGAAUGGGAUUAGAUACCCCAGUAGUCCUGGCUGUAAACGAUGGAUACUAGGCGUUAUGGGUAUCGACCCCCGUAGUGCCGCAGCUAACGCGAUAAGUAUCCCGCCUGAGUAGUACGGCCGCAAGGUUGAA